CCAAUGCUGCAAACUAUAUCAUAAAUAUAUGAUUAAUUAAAUCUCAGUAUCAUCGCAGAUCUUGUAAACUUUUCUCUAUACCUUAGGAGUAGAAUGCUUGCUAAAGGAAUUUUCCAGAUUUCCUUUUCAGUAAUAUUCUAGUUAGAUUCCCGCAGUGAAGGAUCCUCAUACAAAAUUGAAAAGACAGUGUUAUGGAGUGAGUUUUUGUUCCCCUAAAAUUCGUAUUUUGAAGUCCUAACUUUGAAAGGUAAUUAGGGUCAGAUGAAGUCAUGAAGGUAGUACCCUCCUGAUGGUGGGAUUAAUGGCUUAAUAAAAAGAAAAAGGAAUCUCUCUCUCUUCCCUCCCCCCGUCUCUCUCCACAGUGAGAGGACAGCCAUCUGCAAACCAGAAAGAAAGUCCUCAUGAGGAACUGAAUCAAUCUUCACCUCGAGCUUACGCUUCCCAGCCUUUGCAACUGUGAGAAAUAAAUAAGUCUUUGUGCCACGUUGUCUAUGGUAUGUUAUAGCAGCCCAGGCCAACUAAUACAAGCAAGAACUGAAGAAAACAUUACUUAUGAGGAGCUGCUGUGAUCAGGCCAAGGACUGCGAGCAAUCACCACAAUUUAGGAGAGAGGAAAAAGGGAGCCUUCUCCUUUAGAGCCUCCGGGGGAAACCAACCUUGUUGACACCUUGAUUUUGGACUUCUGGUCUGCUGAACUGUAAGUGAAUACAUUUCUGUUGUUUUACUUUUCCAAGCUCAUAGUAAUUAGUUAAGUUAGACUUAGAAAACUAGCACAUCCUGGUGGGUCUGAAAAUAGAUAUGUGAGAAGUUUACAGAGUUUAGCCUCUUUUUUAUUUUGGUUUUCAAGUAGUUUGUU
rnacentral:lncRNA from 13 species